rnacentral:rRNA from 1 species
AACGAACGCUGGCGGCAUGCCUAACACAUGCCAGUCGAACGAGACCUUCGGGUCUAGUGGCGCACGGGUGCGUAACGCGUGGGAACCUGCCCUUAGGUUCGGAAUAACUCCCCGAAAGGGGUGCUAAUACCGGAUAAUGUCUUCGGACCAAAGAUUUAUCGCCUUUGGAUGGGCCCGCGUUGGAUUAGCUAGUUGGUAGGGUAAAAGCCUACCAAGGUGACGAUCCAUAGCUGGUCUGAGAGGAUGAUCAGCCACACUGGGACUGAGACACGGCCCAGACUCCUACGGGAGGCAGCAGUGGGGAAUAUUGGACAAUGGGCGAAAGCCUGAUCCAGCAAUGCCGCGUGAGUGAUGAAGGCCUUAGGGUUGUAAAGCUCUUUUACCCGGGAUGAUAAUGACAGUACCGGGAGAAUAAGCUCCGGCUAACUCCGUG